AUACGGAGGAUGCGAGCGUUAUCCGGAUUUAUUGGGUUUAAAGGGUGCGUAGGCGGUUUGUCAAGUCAGCGGUGAAACGCAAGGGCUUAACCCUUGACCUGCCGUUGAAACUGAUUGACUAGAAUGCGGAUGCUGUGGGAGGAAUGUGUGGUGUAGCGGGGAAAUGCAUAGAUAUCACACAGAACACCGAUUGCGAAGGCAUCUCACAAAUCCGUGAUUGACGCUGAGGCACGAAAGUGUGGGGAUCAAACAGGAUUAGAUACCCUGGUAGUCCACACUGUAAACGAUGAUAACUCGCUGUCGGCGAUACACAGUCGGUGGCCAAGCGAAAGCGAUAAGUUAUCCACCUGGGGAGUACGCCGGCAACGGUGAAACUUAAAGGAAUUGGCGGGG
rnacentral:rRNA from 1 species